rnacentral:rRNA from 1 species
UACAGGAGGUGCAAGCGUUAAUCGGAAUUAUUGGCGUAAAGGGCGCGUAGGCGGCUAGGCAAGUGGAUGUAAAUACCUCGGCUUGAACCGACGGAACUGCCGGUCCAAACUGCUUAGCUUGAGACCGGGAGGAGGUGAGGUAGGUCGAAUUCCCAGUGUAGGCGGUAGAAAUUCGUAGAUAUCGGGGAGGAACACCGGUGGCGAAGGCGGCGAUCUGGGUCGAUACUGACGCUGAGGUGACGAAAGCGGUGGGGGAGCAAACAGG